rnacentral:rRNA from 1 species
UGGGGAAUAUUGCACAAUGGGCGCAAGCCUGAUGCAGCCAUGCCGCGUGUGUGAAGAAGGCCUUCGGGUUGUAAAGCACUUUCAGCGAGGAGGAAGGGUAGUGUGUUAAUAGCACAUUGCAUUGACGUUACUCGCAGAAGAAGCACCGGCUAACUCCGUGCCGGCAGCCGCGGUAAUACGGAGGGUGCAAGCGUUAAUCGGAAUUACUGGGCGUAAAGCGCACGCAGGCGGUUUGUUAAGUCAGAUGUGAAAUCCCCGCGCUUAACGUGGGAACUGCAUUUGAAACUGGCAAGCUAGAGUCUUGUAGAGGGGGGUGAGAAUUCCAGGUGUAGCGGUGAAAUGCGUAGAGAUCUGGAGGAAUACCGGUGGCGAAGGCGGCCCCCUGGACAAAGACUGACGCUCAGGUGCGAAAGCGUGGGGAG